CGCUGCAUCCGAGGCUGCUAAAGGAGUUGGCGAAUGUGAUUGCAGACCCAUUGGCCAUUAUCUUUUGAAAACUCAUGGCAAUCAGGGGAGGUCCCAGAUGCCUGGAAAAAGGCUAAUGUAGUGCCC